AUGAACGCUAGCGACAGGCCUAACACAUGCAAGUCGAGGGGCAGCACAAGGAGCAAUCUGAGGUGGCGACCGGCGCACGGGUGAGUAACACGUAUGCAACCUGCCUGUAAGCGGGGAAUAACCCGUUGAAAGACGGACUAAUACCGCAUAAUACUAAAUUUACUGCAUGGUAAUUUAUUUAAACAUUUAUGGCUUACAGAUGGGCAUGCGCAUGAUUAGCUAGUUGGAGAGGUAACGGCUCCCCAAGGCAACGAUCAUUAGGGGUUCUGAGAGGAAGGUCCCCCACACUGGUACUGAGACACGGACCAGACUCCUACGGGAGGCAGCAGUGAGGAAUAUUGGUCAAUGGACGAGAGUCUGAACCAGCCAAGUCGCGUGCAGGAAGAAUGUCCUAUUGGAUUGUAAACUGCUUUUGCAGGGGAAUAAAGUGCAUCACGUGUGAUGUUUUGUAUGUACUCUGCGAAUAAGGAUCGGCUAACUCCGUGCCAGCAGCAGC
rnacentral:rRNA from 1 species